UCCGGUUUGUCACCGGCGGUCUCCCUAGAGUUCCCAACUGAAUGAUGGCAACUAGGGACAAGGGUUGCGCUCGUUGCGGGACUUAACCCAACAUCUCACGACACGAGCUGACGACAGCCAUGCAGCACCUGUCUCUCGGCUCCCGAAGGCACCCCCACAUCUCUGCGGGGUUCCGAGGAUGUCAAGACCAGGUAAGGUUCUUCGCGUUGCAUCGAAUUAAACCACAUGCUCCACCGCUUGUGCAGGCCCCCGUCAAUUUCUUUGAGUUUCAACCUUGCGGCCGUACUCCCCAGGCGGGGAACUUACUCCGUUAGGUGCGGCACCGGCAGUAACCUGCCGACACUUAGUUCCCAUCGUUUAGGGCGUGGACUAC
rnacentral:misc_RNA from 1 species